UAUUAAAUGACUGAUUAAAUAGUAAUAAAUUGUAAAUUUAUAUAUAUAUAUAAUUAAAUUGCAAAUUUAAUUUAUUUU
rnacentral:tRNA from 1 species